CAGCAGGCCUGAGCCGUCCAAGAGGGAGGGCAGCAAACUCGUAUUUCACAGCUGUGUUUCCACCAGGUUGCUAGAUUUGGAACCAUUUCAGCAGUUCCACUGCACAAAGUUCAUAAUUUGCGUCUGAUUCACUACAAAGAUCUGCACAGCCUCAACUGCCAGAGCUUCCUUCAGGUACAGGAAGGCUGUGAUUUGGUCACCCCAAAGCCUUCUUUUCUCCAGGAUGAACUCAAUGAACAGUCCCAAUUCUCUCAGCCUUUCCUCACAGGAGAGCUACUCCCUCCCUCAACUUGGUGGCCUUCUCUGGACUGUCUCCAACAGGUCCUUGGCCCUCCUGUGCAGGGACCCCAGAACUGGGUGCAGCACUGCAAGUGGGGUCUCAGCAGAGCAGAGCAG